GGGAUUGUAGUUCAAUUGGUAGAGCACCGCCCUGUCACGGCGGAAGCUGCGGGUUCGAGCCCCGUCAAUCCCG
rnacentral:tRNA from 1 species